AAAGCAAACAACAAGCAAAUAAAUGCAUACCGAUUUCGGCUCGGUAAGAGCGAAACCCGCGUUGUUUUU
rnacentral:tRNA from 1 species